GAUCAUGGCUCAGGAUGAACGCUGGCGGCGUGCCUAACACAUGCAAGUCGAACGAGAUGCGUAUUGGAAAGCUUCGGCCGGAAGAUACGUUAUCUAGUGGGCGGACGGGUGAGUAACACGUGGGUAACCUGCCUUAUGGAGGGGGAGUAACAGAGAGAAAUCACUGCUAAUACCGCAUAAGCACACAUUGCCGCAUGGCAGAGUGUGAAAGNUUUAUCGCCAUAAGAUGG
rnacentral:rRNA from 1 species